CUAAUCUUUAUUUGGAAGGUGCAAGAUUGAUCCAGGUGUUGUUGAGUAUCUGCGACUGACUCGGGAGUCUGUUCAGAGGGUAAUGAUGAUACAGUUAAUGAAAGGAUCUUUUCAAACAUGGUCGGGGUUUUUGUGGUUUGUUGUACUCUUCGAAGUGAGCGUUUCUGGGUCUACCAAAAGGGUGACAGAGUUUGUAUCAAAUAGUCAAAUAGUGUGAUUGGUAGAAGAGCGAAUGUGUCAUUGUGGAAAAAGUGAUAUCAGAUUUUUUAGAAGUAAUAACCAUCAACUUGGAAUCAACACGCCCUGGCCAAGAAAAGUGCAAGUGAAAAAUUGUCUAUGUUGAAGUGUCGCAUGUUUUUAAUAAGCUAAGGAAAGAGAACGCUCAGUCGGGGUUCUCGCCCGUUUACUGAAAACUUCAAAACGCACUUGAAUAUGAUAGUUAAGGAAGGAAUCACUGUGAAUUAUGUUCGCAGGACACGCACGAGUAAUUAACGAAAGAAGUUGAGUUGAACAAGACCAGAGUUGUGCAAAGGAUAAGAGCUAGGAAAUUUCAUUUUUGUUGGUUAGCCGAAUACCCCCCACAGUUGAUGCCGUCGUGUCCUCGCCACCAACAUGGCAGCCAGGCCAACUGGUCGUUAUUAUUCCGUUUCGAGGAAAAUAAGGGCCGGGAUAAUAUAAUUUUUAUGUACACAACAGGAUUUUUCGAGGUCCCUCCUUCCGUAGCCGAAUCGUGAAAGGAGGGAGUGGAUUUCCGUGGACUGGUGUGAAAGCGAUAUAGCCGUUUAUGAGACGAGGAGAAUGAAAAAUCGGGGCCAACCCCAUUUCAUUUUAGAAAAUGCUUUUGGCUAUGCUUUUUUUAUUUCCCAUUUUUUUCGUUGUUGGCUACAUAGUUCGGAAAGUACGGGGGCAAUUUUUGGUAUUUUCAUUAUGGCUAAUGUCUGGAUAAUUUCUUAUUUACAUUCAACUUGAGAACAUAAAUUAGAAUCGAUUGAAAUGUGAUCAAUUUUCCGAGCAUGUUCAGUCUACAGUUUUCAGAGGGUGGUAAAUCCUAGGCUUCAGUGAUUGCAGACUGGAAAAGCAUGUUUGAAGUAACUUGGACUGAAUUAAGUGAAUCAGAUACUUUUUAAGGAUAGCUUCAAAAGCCUUGUAGUGGUCACUUUGAAUAAACAUUACAUCAAUCUGAAA